rnacentral:tRNA from 1 species
AUGUAAAAAGCGAAAAAUUUGCAAACGGUUUCGGCCCGUUAGAUAGUGGUGAAAGUCCCCUUUUACAUU